CCUACGGGAGGCAGCAGUGAGGAAUAUUGGUCAAUGGGCGCGAGCCUGAACCAGCCAAGUCGCGUGAGGGAGGACGGCCCUACGGGUUGUAAACCUCUUUUGCCGGGGAGCAACGGGCGUCACGUGUGGCGCCCCUGAGAGUACCCGGAGAAAAAGCAUCGGCUAACCCCGGGCCAGCAGCCGCGGUAAUACGGAGGAUGCGAGCGUUAUCCGGUUUUAUUGGGUUUAAGGGGUGCGUAGGCGGAUCGUUAGGUCAGUGGUCAAAUUGAGGGGCUCAACCCCUUCCCGCCAUUGAAACUGGCGCUCUUGAGUGGAAGAGAAGUAUGCGGAAUGCGUGGUGUAGCGGUGAAAUGCAUAGAUAUCACGCAGAACCCCGAUUGCGAAGGCAGCAUGCCGGCUUCCGACUGACGCUGAAGCACGAAAGCGUGGGGAUCGAACAGGAUUAGAUACCCCUGUAGUC
rnacentral:rRNA from 1 species